AGAUUGAACGCUAGCGGGAUGCUUUACACAUGCAAGUCGAACGGCAGCGCGGACUUCGGUCUGGCGGCGAGUGGCGAACGGGUGAGUAAUAUAUCGGAACGUGCCCAGUAGCGGGGGAUAACUACGCGAAAGCGUGGCUAAUACCGCAUACGCCCGUACGGGGGAAAGGGGGGAUUCUUCGGGACCUCUCACUAUUGGAGCGGCCGAUAUCAGAUUAGCUAGUUGGUGAGGUAAAGCUCACCAAGGCGACGAUCUGUAGCUGGUUUGAGAGGACGACCAGCCACACUGGACUGAGACACGGCCCAGACUCCUACGGGAGCAGCAGUGGGGAAUUUUGGACAA
rnacentral:rRNA from 1 species